UUCCACGCUGUAAACGAUGUACAUUCGCUGCUAGGAAGUAUCGACCCUUUUUAGUAGCUAAGCUAACGCGUUAAAUGUACCGCCUGGGGAGUACGGUCGCAAGACUAAAACUCAAAGGAAUUGACGGGGACCCCGCACAAGCGGUGGAGCAUGUGGUUUAAUUCGACGAUAAGCGAGGAACCUUACCAAGGCUUGACAUGUAGCUGCAUCUCUCAGAAAUGAGAGCGCCUUCGAGGGUGCUACACAGGUGCUGCACGGUUGUCGU
rnacentral:rRNA from 1 species